CCUACGUGGUGCAGCAGUGGGGAAUAUUGGACAAUGGGCGAAAGCCUGAUCCAGCCAUGCCGCGUGUGUGAAGAAGGCCUUCGGGUUGUAAAGCACUUUCAGUGGGGAAGAAAGCCUUGGGGCUAAUACCCUCGAGGAAGGACAUCACCCACAGAAGAAGCACCGGCUAACUCCGUGCCAGCAGCCGCGGUAAUACGGAGGGUGCGAGCGUUAAUCGGAAUUACUGGGCGUAAAGCGCGCGUAGGCGGUCUGAUAAGCCGGUUGUGAAAGCCCCGGGCUCAACCUGGGAACGGCAUCCGGAACUGUCGGGCUAGAGUGCAGGAGAGGAAGGUAGAAUUCCCGGUGUAGCGGUGAAAUGCGUAGAGAUCGGGAGGAAUACCAGUGGCGAAGGCGGCCUUCUGGACUGACACUGACGCUGAGGUGCGAAAGCGUGGGUAGCAAACAGGAUUAGAUACCCUGGUAGUC
rnacentral:rRNA from 1 species